AAAAAAGUUAAGAUAUGGUGUGAAUCCACUGUUGCAAACAAUAAGAGCUUGCCUCACAUUGCAGAGGCAGUUCGGAAGUUUGCUCAGGGUGGUAUGGAGACGACAGGCAUUCGUUCUCUGUCAUUUCAUUUUGGAAAUUCUUUGGAGGACUUCUUGGAUUCUAUAGAGGAAUAUUGCUAACUUAGGUCACUGAAACUGCGUGGCGGGCUGAGUCUGCUGCCUCAGUUUGUUACAUCCUUGUGUGGCCUCAAGGAAUUGUGCCUUGCAUCAACUAAUCUGGCAGGGAAGGAUCUAUCAAACCUGUGUCAGAUGAGAUACUUGCUUUAUCUCAAACUGGUUGAAGCUGACCUUAGCGGCUUCAUCAUAAAAGAAAGGGGUUUCCCAAGCCUGCUAAGCUUAUGCCUUAUUGUGCAAAUACCCGUCCUGCCUACAAUCGAAGAAGGAGCUCUGCCACGUCUUGUCUCACUUCAGCUGCUUUGUAAAGAUCUUGUUGAUCUUUCAGGCAUCGAAAUCGAACACCAUCACUGCCUGCAGGAAGUUGCUCUUGAUUCUAUGGUCAGUACAAAAACAGUUGAAAUGUGGGAAACUGCAGCGAAGAAGCAUCCGAAGAGACCAAAAGUUAUGUUCCUCAGAAGGAUUGAUCCAAGCGAAACUGAGUCCAGUGUGAAAUAUGUGGCGACAGACGGACCGAUA
rnacentral:rRNA from 1 species